UACGUAGGGUGCGAGCGUUAAUCGGAAUUACUGGGCGUAAAGCGUGCGCAGGCGGUUUUGUAAGCCAGAUGUGAAAUCCCCGGGCUUAACCUGGGAAUGGCAUUUGGGACUGCAAGGCUUGAGUGCGGAAGAGGAGACUAGAAUUCCUGGUGUAGCAGUGAAAUGCGUAGAUAUCAGGAGGAAUACCGAUGGCGAAGGCAGGUCUCUGGGCUGACACUGACGCUCAUGCACGAAAGCGUGGGGAGCAAACAGG
rnacentral:rRNA from 1 species